rnacentral:lncRNA from 1 species
GUGGCCGGAAGACGGAGCUCCGGCGAAAAACCCUUUCCGGCAGUCGAACCUUUCGGGGUUGACCGCUCCUUCAUGGCGGCGUUCCGCGCGCGUGCACCGGUCCAGGAUGAGAGAGGAAGAGGCAACGGUCCGAACGGGACCAGUCUGGCGGUCGGUGGUGGCCGGACGGCGGUGGACGGCGGUGGUGAAGUUUCCGGGCGGAGGGAGGAGAAAAUCGGGUGGGAGGAGAGAGAAUCGGGAGGAAAAGAGAGAAGUGAGGGGAGAGAAAUAUAUGGGCUUGGCCCAAACCGGUCCACACCACUUAUAACCCAACUCAAAAAUAAAAACACCCCGAAAAAUAAUACCCGAAUAAAAUUACCUUUUACUAGCUAAAAUUUACCAUUUUUACCGUCGUCGUAUUUUCCUCAAACGAAUAAUCCUCCGCACAUAAUCGUCCCCGAAACCCCUCUAGGGACCAAUUAAACUAUUUACUCAAUGAUCGAGACGGUAAAAUUCUUAUUAUAAUCACGCUAGUAAAUAAGGUAAAAAUAUAAGGGUCGGGAUGUGACAUGUAACAUGGAUUUUAAUAGAUUUCUAUUCUAGUACGUAGUGGGACGCUGCCGUUGUGGUGCAGCAUCACGCUGCAAUUAUUAUUAUAUAAAUUCAUGUAACUAUGCAUGAAACUAUCCAUGUAAUUGUCCAUGUAACUACCCAUGUAAUUAUAAAUUGUUAGUUACCUAGGUAGUUACAUUGCUAGUUACAUGGAUUUUAAUAGAUUUCUGUUCUAAUAUGCAGCGGGACGCUGUCGUUGCUGUGCAGCAACACGUUGCAAUUAUGGCAAAGCAAUUUGUCAAACCACAGAAUAUGGCAAAGAAAAGCAAAGCAAUCUGUAACAAAGAAAAGGAAAGCAAUCUAUAACACAGAAUAUGGCAAAACAAUGUAAAGCAAAGCAAUCAUGUAACUAUUGCAAAGCAAAGCAAUCAUGUAACACUUUUUUUUCUUCACACAGAACACAGAAUAUGGCAAAGCAAAACAAUCUGUAACAAGCUACACUUUUUUUCUCACACAAAACACAUAAUAUGACAAAACAAAGAAAUCUAUAACAAGCUACACUUUUUUUUCUCACACAUAACACAUAAUAUGGCAAAGCAAAACAAUCUGUAACAAGUUACACUUUUUUUUCUCACAUAGAACACAAAAUAUGACAAAACAAAGAAAUUUAUAACAAGUUACACUUUUUUUCUCACACAGAACACAUAAUAUGACAAAGCAAAGCAAUCUGUAUUAAUAGAGAUAUGUUCCACACAAAUAAUCUUUCAUUUAGCUGUUCAAAUACAAUUGAUGAAACAUUGAUAUUAAACUUGGUGAACCUACUGCGGAUGACGUAUGGAGUACCAACUAUGCCUAUGGUUAAGAAACCUCUUCACCACUUGUGCUCUAAGCAUCAAAACAUCAUUCUUCUUCAAUGUUCUGUCAAAUGUUUCCUCCUUGGAAAGUUUGUCCAUAUAGUACAUAACGAAUAUCCCACAAUCCAAUAUGUUUUUCAAAAAAAAAAUUUAAGUCAAAACAUAAUCAUUGAACAAACAGUCAAUUUCUUACAUAAUAGUUUCCCUACGUAACUAUCCAUGUAACUACAGACUGAUAGUUACCUGGGUAGUUACCUAACCAAAACUUUAACUCUGAAUUGAAAAGUUUUAAAACUUACAAUGUGGGAUCUUGCUGAGGUAGUGGGCCAUUGACUUGACAACUGAUCGGGAUCUUUUCAAAAUAGUUUUUCUUGACCCAUUGUAUGGACUCUCUCUCUCUCNNNN